rnacentral:rRNA from 1 species
GAUGAACGCUGGCGGCGUGCCUAAUACAUGCAAGUCGAGCGAACGGACGAGAAGCUUGCUUUUCUGAUGUUAGCGGCGGACGGGUGAGUAACACGUGGAUAACCUAUCUAUAAGACUGGGAUAACUUCGGGAAACCGGAGCUAAUAUCGGAUAAUAUUUUGAACCGCAUGGUUCAAAAGUGAAAGACGGUCUUGCUGUCACUUAUAGAUGGAUCCGCGCUGCAUUAGCUAGUUGGUAAGGUAACGGCUUACCAAGGCAACGAUGCAUAGCCGACCUGAGAGGGUGAUCGGCCACACUGGAACUGAGACACGGUCCAGACUCCUACGGGAGGCAGCAGUAGGGAAUCUUCCGCAAUGGGCGAAAGCCUGACGGAGCAACGCCGCGUGAGUGAUGAAGGUCUUCGGAUCGUAAAACUCUGUUAUUAGGGAAGAACAUAUGUGUAAGUAACUGUGCACAUCUUGACGGUACCUAAUCAGAAAGCCACGGCUAACUACGUG